rnacentral:rRNA from 1 species
AGUGAACGCUGGCGGUAGGCCUAACACAUGCAAGUCGAACGGCAGCACAGUAAGAGCCUGCUCUUACGGGUGGCGAGUGGCGGACGGGUGAGGAAUACAUCGGAAUCUACUUUUUCGUGGGGGAUAACGUAGGGAAACUUACGCUAAUACCGCAUACGACCUACGGGUGAAAGCAGGGGAUCUUCGGACCUUGCGCGAUUGAAUGAGCCGAUGUCGGAUUAGCUAGUUGGCGGGGUAAAGGCCCACCAAGGCGACGAUCCGUAACUGGUCUGAGAGGAUGAUCAGCCACACUGGAACUGAGACACGGUCCAGACUCCUACGGGAGGCAGCAGUGGGGAAUAUUGGACAAUGGGCGCAAGCCUGAUCCAGCCAUACCGCGUGGGUGAAGAAGGCCUUCGGGUUGUAAAGCCCUUUUGUUGGGAAAGAAAAGCAGCAGGUUAAUACCCCGCUGUUCUGACGGUACCCAAAGAAUAAGCACCGGCUAACUUCGUG